rnacentral:rRNA from 1 species
AUACGGAGGGUGCGAGCGUUAAUCGGAAUUACUGGGCGUAAAGCGCGCGUAGGCGGCUUGAUCAGUCGGAUGUGAAAUCCCCGGGCUCAACCUGGGAAUUGCAUCCGAUACUGUCGGGCUAGAGUACGAUAGAGGGGGGUAGAAUUCCUAGUGUAGCGGUGAAAUGCGUAGAUAUUAGGAGGAAUACCAGUGGCGAAGGCGGCCCCCUGGAUUGAUACUGACGCUGAGGUGCGAAAGCGUGGGGAGCAAACAGGAUUAGAUACCCGGGUAGUCC